rnacentral:tRNA from 1 species
AUGGAUAUGCUGGAAUUGGUAAACAGGCUGUUUUUAGAUUGCAGUGGCGAAAGCUUUAUAGGUUCGAGUCUUAUUAUCCAUA